GUCAAGUCAUCAUGGCCCUUACGUCCAGGGCUGCACACGUGCUACAAUGGUUGGUACAAUGGGUCGCCACUCAGCGAUGAGGCGCAAAUCCAUAAAACCAAUCUCAGUUCGGAUUGGAGUCUGCAACUCGACUCCAUGAAGUUGGAAUCGCUAGUAAUCGCGUAUCAGCAAUGACGCGGUGAAUACGUUCCCGGGCCUUGUACACACCGCCCGUCAAGCGAUGGAAGUCAGGAGUACCUGAUGUCGGCGUGCCAACCUUCGGGAGGCAGCUGCCUAGGGUAAGCCUGGUAACUGGCGCUAAGUCGUAACAAGGUAGCCGUACCGGAAGGUGCGGCUGGAUCACCUCCUU
rnacentral:rRNA from 13 species